CGAUACCAAUAGGGGUGCCUUAUCCGCUUGCGGAUUGAAAGACAGGCUGAGAUCAAACCCUUUGCACCUGAUACGGAUAAUGCCGAGACAGGGAAUCGAGUUCCUCAUCAU
rnacentral:ncRNA from 1 species